GACGAAACAAACACACUGCUCUAUACACGUGGUAUGCUCACAUUUCAAAUCCUCGUUGAUAAUGUCGGGAUACGACGCCGGGCUUUUACAGAACCGUCAACCUUAACAAACAAUAACUUUGCGAAAAAACCUCACGGUGCACACAAUAACCCGCAGUCUGCACGACAUAAGGAAUAUGAGGAAUAUCAUCAGUAGAAAUCUGACAUCUAGACUUAAGGGGUUCGAAUCAUUGUUUGGACAAUACUUCAAUCACACUGCGGCGACAGUGACAAGAUCGGGUUGUACAUACAUCAAACAGGUUCUCAAAUUUUGGAUCCAAAAGACGUCAACACUUAAAACAUAUCCAUGGAGCUGAGGACCAUCGUCUUUGGGCUGUUUGUUAUACUUCCGGUCACCUUGUCCAUAGAUGAAGAUGAAGUAGAUGGAAAAACCUACAAGGACACAAUAGAAGUGAAAGGCGUGACGUGCAGCUUUGCUGAAUAUAAAACCAAUGACGGUGGAGGACCUCGCGGACUGCAUCUCUUUUCGUGUAAGAAUGGGAGCUUAAACAUGGAUAAUGACUGCAUUUACUACGGUGGGAACCCUCACGGCUGCAAGAAAUAUAAACCAAAUCAGCAGAACAGUAUCAAAAAAUACUACACAACACUGGCAAGAAGUGCCAUGGGCACAGACGAACCUUGCGAACCAGAAAACAUUACUGAAAGUCUCUGUGACAAAUUCUACGUUUGUAUUCAAGGGAGCUGUAUGAACAAGCAACUGACUAAUUUCGAUGAUGAGUUAUAGAAUCUACUACAAGUUGAGCGUUUAUCUUGUAAUGCUGUAAUGCUGUAAUUAAAGCGAUAAAAGGUAA
rnacentral:misc_RNA from 1 species